rnacentral:rRNA from 1 species
GUUUCGAAUCAUUCACAAUGGGCGAAAGCCUGAUGGUGCGACGCCGCGUGAGGGAUGAAGGUCUUCGGAUUGUAAACCUCUGUCACCGGGGAAGAAACGCUUCAAUUUAACAGAUUGAAGCCUGACUUAACCCGGAGAGGAAGCAGUGGCUAACUCUGUGCCAGCAGCCGCGGUAAUACAGAGACUGCAAGCGUUAUUCGGAUUCACUGGGCGUAAAGGGUGCGCAGGCGGCUGAGUGUGUCAGAUGUGAAAUCCCGAGGCUCAACCUCGGAACUGCGUCUGAAACUACUCGGCUAGAGUAUUGGAGAGGGUAACGGAAUUCACGGUGUAGCAGUGAAAUGCGUAGAUAUCGUGAGGAACACCAGAGGCGAAGGCGGUUACCUGGACAAUUACUGACGCUCAGGCACGAAAGCGUGGGUAGCAAAAGGGAUUAGAAACCCCUGUAGUCC